UACGUAGGGUGCAAGCGUUGUCCGGAAUUAUUGGGCGUAAAGAGCUCGUAGGCGGUUUGUCGCGUCGAAUGUGAAAACCCGGGGCUCAACCCCCGGGCCUGCAUUCGAUACGGGCAGACUAGAGUUCGGUAGGGGAGUCUGGAAUUCCUGGUGUAGCGGUGAAAUGCGCAGAUAUCAGGAGGAACACCGGUGGCGAAGGCGGGACUCUGGGCCGAUACUGACGCUGAGGAGCGAAAGCGUGGGGAGCAAACAGG
rnacentral:rRNA from 1 species